rnacentral:lncRNA from 1 species
AAAGGGAUUUAGGGGUGAUUAUUUCUGAUGACUUAAAGGUAGGCAGACAAUGUAAUGGAGCAGCAGGAAAUGCUAGCAGAAUGCUUGGUUGUAUAGGGAGAGGUAUUAGCAGUAGAAAGAGGGAAGUGCUCAUGCCAUUGUACAGAACACUGGUGAGACCUCACUUGGAGUAUUGUACACAGUACUGGAGACCGUAUCUUCAGAAGGAUAUUGAUACCUUAGAGAGGGUUCAGAGAAGGGCUACUAAACU